GGGUUUCUUUUGGUUUUAUUUGCUUUCUGGAGAAAAUCAGGUAAUGAGUUUUGGUCCGGGGUCGGGAUUUUAUCAUGCACACAACCUGUUUGAUAAAAUGUCGCUUCGAAAUCUCAGGUGCUUCUGGGCCGUCCGGUUAUGUUGGUUUUACCAUGACAUGGGAUCUUGCUCCGACCAUCUGCAUUUCGGGUGUUAAAUAACUUAAAUUAUUCAUGUGCGUUUUGAUUCAAAAUUGCACCUCUAACCACAUUUGCUCAAACUAAUUCCUGCUCCAUUGAAUUGAUCCAAUUGUCUUGCAUGUAGCACUACAACACCUGAAUUCUGGGCCGGCCGGUUAUCUGGUCUUGUGGGUGAUUUCGGGUUUUUAGUUCUUUAAGACCCUACGUAAGUUACAUUGAGGUUUCUGCCUGGUUAGGUUUAACAUCAUUUCCUAUGACCAGGCUCUUACUUUGAUUGCUUAAAAGAUGCAAUGCAGCAGUACAACUUAGAAACAUACACGGGUCCGGGAUAGCUUUUAGUAUACAUGUUUAGAUUAAUUUCCAGGGUAAAUUUGGCGAUACACUUUAAAAAGAUUCGAGCUUUUCUUUUGAAUGCACGCUUUAUUUGUAGCUUCAGUGGUUGCUCAACAUUAUGAUUUGUUCUGCUCUUAAUUUGUGGAAGUACUGCUGCUGUUUUGUAGUGGUGCACUUUUAAGCGGUAUAUUGGCUCGUAGCCAGCACGCUUCUUCCAACACUUGCCAGCAAGUGAUUGCUGGCAAUAUGAGUCCCAAAAGUACAUUGAACUCGAGCAGAGCCCUACAGGGAUGCAUGGGGUGCAUGUGGUGUCCAGUUCUCGGUUUGAAUCAGAAGAGACUACUCAAAAUGACCUUUCUCACUCAACUUGUGGAACCUCACCUAUUGGAGCAAAUCAGCAGCUUUUUGUGCAGCGAGUGUGGCAGCAAAGACCGCCAUGCUUGAAGCCCAUCCAGGGCUGCUGCAUUCAAGGUGAUCAGAGUGUUGCAGAAACACUCGUGAAUGUGCUCACUUCACUUCCUUUUAUAGUUCUUGGAAUCCAUGCCCCAAGGAAGAAUCUAAAUACCAAGCUAUAUGCUAAUUCAUUAAUCGGAGUUGGAGUCGCCUCAAGUUUAUAUCAUUCUUCAAGAGGAAAACUAAGGAAAUAUUUAAGAUGGGCCGACUAUACGAUGAUAGCCACAACAACAGUAUGUCUAUCAAGAGCCCUCAGAAAUGAAAACCCAAGGCUGCUGACGGUAGCUUCUGCAUUAUUUUUACCUUUCCAGCCUCUGAUGGUUUCUGCCGUUCACACGGGAUUAAUGGAGGUAGCAUUCGCCAAGAGAGCAUUGAAAGAUCCAGAGCUAAGAAAUGCCCACAAUGUACAUAAGAUGUCAUCACUAUUGGGAGGUGUCUUGUUCAUUGCCGAUGACAUGUUUCCUCAGACUCCGUUCCUUCAUGCUGCAUGGCACCUUGCUGCAGCCGUCGGUGUUGGCACCUGCAAUAAGCUUCUGGAGUAGCCAUCAUUCAAACAGAUAGAAGACCUGGCCAGCAGGCUAGAUACAAUUCUACAACCAAAUUUGUCGAUCCAACCUUAUUAUUUUGCAGAAUGCCACCGGAAUUAUUAUUUAGUUAAUAUCUAGGUAAAAUCAUAGGCGCAGGGACAAGGUACGAGGUACGAGGGUUGUCUGGGAAAGUCGGAACAUUAACAAAAAUUUUCCGAUUGACAUGUAAAUAAGAUAAUAGCAGUAUUAUUGUUGCUGGUGGAUAUUCUGUGUAAUUGAAAGAUAGUGGCAACCAAUUUCAGUACUAAAAGGGAGUAUAAGAUCACUCAAUAUUUUGUGUCA